rnacentral:rRNA from 1 species
UUGAACGCUGGCGGCAUGCCUUACACAUGCAAGUCGAACGGCAGCACGGACUUCGGUCUGGUGGCGAGUGGCGAACGGGUGAGUAAUGUAUCGGAACGUACCUUUCAGUGGGGGAUAACGUAGCGAAAGUUACGCUAAUACCGCAUAUUCUGUGAGCAGGAAAGCAGGGGAUCGCAAGACCUUGCGCUGAUUGAGCGGCCGAUAUCAGAUUAGCUAGUUGGUGGGGUAAAGGCCUACCAAGGCUACGAUCUGUAGCGGGUCUGAGAGGAUGAUCCGCCACACUGGAACUGAGACACGGUCCAGACUCCUACGGGAGGCAGCAGUGGGGAAUUUUGGACAAUGGGGGCAACCCUGAUCCAGCCAUGCCGCGUGAGUGAAGAAGGCCUUCGGGUUGUAAAGCUCUUUCGGCCGGGAAGAAAUCGCAUCAGCUAAUACCUGGUGUGGAUGACGGUACCGGAAUAAGAAGCACCGGCUAACUACGUG